rnacentral:rRNA from 1 species
GUCAUUUAGUGGAAGUAAAAGUNGUAACAAGGUUUCCGUAGGUGAACCUGCGGAAGGAUCAUUA